rnacentral:rRNA from 1 species
GCACUAACAGGAUUCCCCUAGUAACUGCGAGUGAAGCGGGAAAAGCUCAAAUUUAAAAUCUGGCGGUCUUUGGCUGUCCGAGUUGUAAUUUAGAGAAGCGUCUUCCGCGCCGGUCCGUGCACAAGUCUCCUGGAAUGGAGCGUCAUAGAGGGUGAGAAUCCCGUCUUUGGCACGGAUGCCUGGUGCUUCUGUGAUGCGCUCUCGAAGAGUCGAGUUGUUUGGGAAUGCAGCUCAAAAUGGGUGGUGAACUCCAUCUAAAGCUAAAUAUUGGCGAGAGACCGAUAGCGAACAAGUACCGUGAGGGAAAGAUGAAAAGCACUUUGGAAAGAGAGUGAAACAGUACGUGAAAUUGUUGAAAGGGAAACGCUUGAAGUCAGUCGCGUCGACCGAGACUCAGCCUUGCCUUGGCUUGGUGUACUUCUCGGCACGACGGGUCAGCAUCAAUUUUGCCCCUCGGAUAAUGGCAAGGGAAAGGUGGCACCUUCACGGGUGUGUUAUAGUCUCCUGUCGCAUGCGAGGGGUGGGAUUGAGGAACUCAGCGCGCACCUUGGUGUCGGGGCUUCGGCCCACGUCACGCGCUUAGGAUGCUGGCGUAAUGGCUUUAAACGACCCGUCUUGAAACACGGACCAAGGAGUCUAACAUGCCCGCGAGUGUUCGGGUGGAAAACCCGUGCGCGUAAUGAAAGUGAAAGUUGGGACCUCUGUCGUGGAGGGCACCGACGCCCGGACCAGACCUUCUGUGACGGAUCUGCGGUAGAGCGUGUAUGUUGGGACCCGAAAGAUGGUGAACUAUGCCUGAAUAGGGUGAAGCCAGAGGAAACUCUGGUGGAGGCUCGUAGCGAUUCUGACGUGCAAAUCGAUCGUCAAAUUUGGGUAUAGGGGCGAAAGACUAAUCGAACCAUCUAGUAGCUGGUUCCUGCGAGU